UACUUAAAUAGCCUAAGGUUAGGGCGUUACAUUGAAGCUGUAGAGGUGACGGUAAAGUCUUUGGGUAG
rnacentral:tRNA from 1 species